rnacentral:SRP_RNA from 1 species
GCCAGGCGCAGUGGCAGGCGCCUGUAAUCCCAGCUACUCGGGAGGCUGAGGCAGGAGAAUUGCUUGAACCCAGGAAGUGGAGGUUGCAGUGAGCCGAGAUCAUGCCACUGCACUCCAGCCUGGGUGACAGAGCGAGACUCUGUCUCAA